UGGGGAAUAUUGGGCAAUGGGCGCAAGCCUGACCCAGCAACGCCGCGUGAGGGAAGAAGGUCUUCGGAUUGUAAACCUCUGUCCUUGGGGACGAAAAAAAUGACGGUACCCAAGGAGGAAGCUCCGGCUAACUACGUGCCAGCAGCCGCGGUAAUACGUAGGGAGCGAGCGUUGUCCGGAAUUAAUGGGCGUAAAGGGUGCGUAGGCGGCGCUGCAAGUCAGAUGUGAAAUCCCCGGGCUUAACCCGGGGGGUGCAUUUGAAACUGCAGUGCUUGAGGGCAGGAGAGGAAAGCGGAAUUCCUAGUGUAGCGGUGAAAUGCGUAGAUAUUAGGAAGAACACCAGUGGCGAAGGCGGCUUUCUGGACUGUAACUGACGCUGAGGCACGAAAGCGUGGGGAGCAAACA
rnacentral:rRNA from 1 species